rnacentral:rRNA from 1 species
UUACAUCAGCAGUCAUCUCCGUGAUAGAGUGUGGCUGGCACCAGUCCCAGGUGCCCAUUUGGACAUCCUCCAAAACCUAGUGGCUAAUACACGCUCGAUCACUUCCGCCACAUCAGUGUUGGCCAGCAUCCAGCUGGUCGACCGUGGUGGAUUGCACCCAGCUGCAAUGAAGACCAGUGCCUGAAACAUGGCAGCUGUCUCCGAUGACUCAGGCUGGUCCCUCUGGGACAGCCGUGUUGGCAGGUAUUGUGGCCUGAUCCACAGCUUGCUUGAUCACACGAACUUCUGACCUAUCAGCCUUGACUGUGGUGUAGUGGACCACAGUGGCUAUGACGGGUAACGGAGAAUUUGGGUUCGAUUCCGGAGAGGGAGCCUGAGAGAUGGCUACCACUACCAAGGUGGGCAGCAGGCGCGCAAAUUGCCCAAUACAGAAGCACCGUGUGAGGCAGCGACGAACUGCAACAAUCCAGCUGGCAGGAGUGCUGGCUGGACUUGUAAUGGAUGCUAUCCAAACCCUGUGAUGAGUAACGACUGGAGGGCAAGUCUGGUGCCAGCAGCUGCGGUAAUUCCAGCUCCAAGGGCGUAUACUAACAUUGCUGCUGUUAAAACACUUGUAGUCUGCCACUGGGUGCAGGUCUGCCAGGUGGCUGGUGGUGCUGUGGUCUGACCAUGGUGCCGCUGGAACAAACCCCUGGCAGUAUGUCCCUGUGCCCGCUCUCUGUGAUGGUGGAACUGCUCCUGCUCGAGGCCUCCUUCAGUGGGGGUUGAGGCGGUCUUGCACCCCAAGCUUGUCUGGACGUUACGUGGGGCAUGGCCCAGUGCUGUGCAUCUCCCACAGUCCACCACCGGAGCCCACCAUCCUUGUCACCGUGGAAAACUCAGUGUGCUCAACGCGUCCAGUUUGGCUGGAUGCCUGUCCAUGGAAUGUCAAAGCAUCGACCAGAUGUGGCCAAUGGAGUUGUGCUGGCCUUGGAGCCCGUCCAGGGGAAUGUGGUGGCUGUCCCCUGGUUGGGCAAGGGCACCGCCCUGCCUGUGGUGAUUCCUGCUCAGCCAGUGGCUGCAGCCUCCGACCGAAGACGAUGGGACUGCUCAGGGUGGAAGGUAUUGCAACGCCAGAGGUGAAAUUCUUAGACCGUUGCACGACCAACUGCAGCGAAGGCGUUCUGCAAGUGCAUGUUCGUCGAUCAAGAAUGAAAGUGUGGGGAGCGAAGAUGAUCAGACACCGUCGUAGUCCACAACUGUAAACUAUGCCAGCUCGGUGUUGACAGGGCAAGUUCACGGACCCUGCCAGCACCAUGCCCCCUGCAACGAGAAAUCCAAGCCUGUGGGUUCAGGGGGGAGUACUGUCGCAAGGCUGAAACUUAAAGGAAUUGACGGAAAGGCACCACAAGGCGUGGAGUAUGCGGCUUAAUUUGACUCAACACGGGGAAUGUUACCAGGUCAGGACGAGGCCGGGAUGGACAGACUGAGAGCUCUUUCUUGAUUCUUCGGAUGGUGGUGCAUGGCCGCUCCUGAUUGGUGGAGUGAUUUGUCUGGUUGAUUCCGAUAACGAGUGAGAUCUCUGCCUCCCACUAGCCCCAGUCUCGCGUCUGUAGGGUGGGCCCCAGCAGCUCCAACCGGGUGGCUUGCUACCCUGGCUGGGCACUGUGGGUCCCCUGAGAGCUCUGGGAUCAGCUUCUCUGAGGUGCUGUGUACACUGCCAAGUGCAUGCAAGCUAGAGCCAACAGCAGGUCUGUGAUGCUCCCAGAUGUCCUGGGCCGCACGCGCACUACAUUGAUCCAGUGAAGGUGUUCUCUGCCACUGUGGCAGCCUGCCCAGAAAUGGGUGGGAAACCCUGCAAGCCUGUGAUCGUCCUGGGGAUAGAUGAUUGCAACUGUCUGCCUUGAACGAGGAAUGCCUAGUAGGCGUGUGUCAUCAGCGCACACCGAUUGUGUCCCUGCC